CACACCGCCCGUCCACACCAUGGGAGGUGGGUUUCGUACCAGAAGCAGGGUUGCCUAACCGCAAGGAGGGCGCCUACCACGGUGAGAUUCAUGACUGGGGUG
rnacentral:rRNA from 1 species